CCUACGGGCGGCAGCAGUGAGGAAUAUUGGUCAAUGGGCGCGAGCCUGAACCAGCCAAGUAGCGUGAAGGAUGACUGCCCUACGGGUUGUAAACUUCUUUUAUAAGGGAAUAAAGUGAGGCACGUGUGCCUUUUUGUAUGUACUUUAUGAAUAAGGAUCGGCUAACUCCGUUCCAGCAGCCGCGGUAAUACGGAGGAUCCGAGCGUUAUCCGGCUUUAUUGGGUUUAAAGGGAGCGUAGAUGGGUGGUUAAGUCAGUUUUGAAAGUUUGGGGCUCAACCGUAAAAUUGCAAUUGAUACUGGUAGCCUUGAGUACAGUUGAGGUAGGCGGAAUGCGUGGUGUAGCGGUGAAAUGCUUAGAGAUCACGAAGAACUCCGAUUGCGAAGGCAGCUUACUAAACUGCCACUGACAUUGAUGCUCGAAAGUGUGGGGAUCAAACAGGAUUAGAUACCCCAGUAGUC
rnacentral:rRNA from 1 species